rnacentral:piRNA from 1 species
GCUUGAAUCACUUUCUUUUUCUGUGGGUCC